rnacentral:rRNA from 1 species
GACGAACCGUCCAAACGUUAUUCGGAAUCACUGGGCUUAAAGGGUGCGUAGGCGGCGCGGAAAGUUGGGUGUGAAAUACCUCGGCUUAACCGAGGAACUGCGCCCAAAACUACCGUGCUUGAGGAAGAUAGAGGUGAGCGGAACUUAGGGUGGAGCGGUGAAAUGCGUUGAUAUCCUAAGGAACACCGGUGGCGAAAGCGGCUCACUGGAUCUUUUCUGACGCUGAGGCACGAAAGCUAGGGUAGCGAACGGG